AGGCCUCCUGCAGUGUCCCUGGGUGGAUGCCUGUCAGUCCAAGACCGAGCACGUUAACCCUUUCACACCCAGCAUGUAGGAGAGGGCCACGCAGUGUGCAGACAGAUUCAUGGCAGGUGGCUCCUUGAUUAGCUGCCGGAGAGGGUUGGGUUGAGUGUUCUAAUCCCACCCUGUCCGCUUUCGCCCCCAGGACGGCAGCACAGCCCUCUCCAUCGCCCUGGAAGCGGGCCACAAGGACAUCGCCGUCCUCCUCUAUGCCCACGUCAACUUCGCCAAAGCCCAGUCUCCGAGCACCCCCCGGCUUGGCAGGAAGAUGUCUCCAAGCCCCACCCACCGUGCGUCCUUUGACUGACCAGGCACUGACUGACCUCGCCCACCACACCAUGCUGCCACGAAGCUGCUACGAGCCUGUUCGCGGUGACAGAUUCUGAAUGUACCCAGCUGGCCCGUGCUCACCAACAGGCCCUGGCUGUGGCCACAGGAAGUGACAGAGGCAGCACCCACCAUCCGGCCCCCUCUGGCUGGCUUCCAUCUGCUUAGGACCCUCUGAGACUCAGGCCUCUGGAGCAUGUCGAUGUUGUGGGGUCAUGCUUCCCUGACCCCCAGGUCACCGUAGUUGCACCGUCUAGCAGGGCAACUGCUGGCAGCCCUUCCCAAUGGCCCUCUCCAGGGGGCUGCUCCUCUGGUCAGUGGACUGUCAGGUCCACACCGUGCUCCUGGGGGUGGGGUUCGAACAGAGCUGCAACAUUCAGAGGCCCACAGCUCCCAAAGGCACUCUGGCAGGGGGCUCCCCCGUGGGUGUCGGCUGAGGCUUGGACGUCAAGCCUCUCCAGAGGCACCACAGUAUUUGCAGCCUGUCUUCUGUCAUGGAGACCCCGGUACUUCCACCCCUGCCUCGUCAGGAGCACCGGUAUGGGGACACUGAAGGCUGGGCCGUGUUGGAAGAACUGGCCCGCGGCCUCGCAGGACCCCAGAGUCCCUGUCUGUAUUGACGGGCUCCUCUCACCUCCCCACACACACUUGGAUCCUGCCUAUGUAUUUAAACUUUUGAAGUGCCUUAGACUCUUGCCAUAUUUUCGAAAUAAAAUGUCACGAAGCUUUC